rnacentral:rRNA from 7 species
UCCAUUCCGAACUCAGAAGUGAAACGAAAUAGCGCCGAUGGUAGUGUGGGGUUUCCCCAUGUGAGAGUAGGACAUCGCCAGGC